rnacentral:lncRNA from 1 species
AAAACUUUUUCUUUAUUUAAACAGUUUUAUAUCACCCCUCACCAAUUAUAAUUACCCUGUGUUAUUUAAUGGAUAAAUAUCACCUUUACUAUAAGAAAUUAACCUUUUUUUUUUUUUUAUUGGUUUGAUAUCCUUCUGGCUAAUUAAAUGAACCUGUUAAUUUUAUUAUAAUGAAUUAAUAUCCCUUUCCCAAUAAACAAUCCCUUGUUACUCUCUUUUCAUGGUUUAGUGUCCCCUUUACUGAUAAAAAAUGAAUUCAUUUUGUCUUAUUUUGAUUAUCCUUUUUUCAUAUCAACACAACAUGUUGUAGGGGCCCCAACACUGACUGUUCAUGUCACACUCAAAGCACUGAACUCAGAGCACUGUCAGAGGUGCGGAGCAGGCUGAUUUUAUGAGCAUGGCUGUGUUUAUCAAAACUAAGAAUACAUACAUCAUCGUUUUCAAAAAAGCAGCACUGCUCUGUUUUAAUUUCAAAGCUUUAGCAUCAUUUUACAAAUUUGAAAUGUUUGUUGCACAUGAAAGUCAAACCUCUUCAGCUCGGAGGCAGAGUACAUGAAACACCUUCUGCUGUUGGUUUUGAGGUUUGGUGGUAAAUUUUCUAACUCAGCAUCAUGAAGAGACACAUGCAAACACACAAAUCAUAUUUUUUUAGAUGCUCGUGGACAGAAAUAUGUUCUGUCACCCAUGUAUUUCACUCUGAUAGUUUUUCAGUAGGUGUUUACGUGCAUCAGAUGACUGCAACAUGCAUUUGACAGGCUGGGUUGCUGUUGCUCUCCUAAACGUGGCCUGGGUUUUCUUCUUUUUGCAACCCAAUCCUUUUGAAGGUAAGACUUGAAUGCAUUCAAUGACAGUGUUGCUGUUUGUCUGAGUCACUUUCCCACCAUCAAAUAUUAAUAACACUGUUAAAAAUCUUCACCAUCACAUCAUGCUGUGCACUCUUUUAGUUUUGUCCUAAAUGUGCUUUUAAAGUGUUUCUACACAAAAGAAGCUCCAGUGAGGAGGGGAUCUUUGGAGAGUUUUGUUUUCAGCCACAGUUUGAUGAGAGUCAGACUUCAGCUCCACAUGCAGUCACUGUUACUGCCAGUAAAACCAACAGCACCAACACGACAGCUGAAGGUAAGUCAGUUCUGUCAGUUCAGGCUUUGCUGCAUGUAUGUAACAUUAACUUAGAUUUUUUUUUUCCUUUUCUAAUGAAAACUUCUCUGUUGAUAUUUAAACAAUGCAUUCUUUGUCUUGCUAUGAGCAUCAUAUGUGGUCAUUUCUCUAUAAAGUCAUGCUUGAAUGUGUCUAUUUAAGGAGAUUACACUGCUGUGCAGUAGGUUGACAAUCAUAUAAUUUCUGACAUUUUCAUAAUUUUAUGGCUGCAGAAAUUAUCUGCAAUUUAUGUACACAUUUGCAAACUGUGUGUGCAGAUUUUAAAAUUGCAAUCCCAGCACGUUGACUUGGUUCACAAUGUGUGUGAAAUUUAGUAUGUGAGUCGUGUGCACAAAUGCAUCCACACAGAUGUGAAGUUAGUAUUCACAGAAUUAAACUUGUGUUUGCUUGGACUCUUUUAACGUACAGUGUGGAUAGUUGCAGAGCUGUGCAGAGUCAGCAGGACAAUACAAAACAGUGUUGUCUGCAAAAGAAGAAGAAUAAAGUUAAUUACAGGGGGGACAAUGUUGAUAAUAUAAAUAGUAUAAAAGCAAAACUGGGCUCAGAAGUAAUCCUUGUGGAACACCUUUCAUUAGAAGGCACUCUGGAUGAAUAUUACCCACUUUCACACAUUAAAACCUGCCAGAAAACACAAGCUAUGUUUGUCAGCAGGGGACUUGUUUACUCACACAUUUUAUGUUUAUUAUUACUGACUGGGUGCUUGAUGGGAAACUUGAUUUAUACCUUUAUAGUAGUGGGCAAACAAUUAAAUCAUUCCAUUUCUUUAAUCCUGAGAAAGACUUUAUUAACAAAUAUUAGAGAGGAACUUAUUUGUUCAUAGUUCGUUAAUUAUUCCUGCUGUUGAUUAAUUUCCAUCCAUUAUUUUUCAGGGAGAAACUUUACAUUGUCUGAUGUUGAUUUAUCAUGGUUCAUUAAUACGCCUGCACAGAACUGCCAGUGCAACCACACAACAGUGCAAUUCAAAGAUUUACAGUUAUUGGAUAUAGCUUUAAGACCUCUUGCACCAGGAUGUGAACCAAACAUUGUGUAAGUCAGUUGAUAGUUUUUUUGUUUGUUUAAACCAGUUUUUACUUCUAUGUAUUUGUUUAACGCAGUGAUGUGAUUGUGCUAAAAGCAGCUUAAGUGAAUAAGAUAUUUGGCUAAUUUUUGUGGGAGCAUUAAAUGCAAUGACAUGUGACAUUCAUCUAUUUUUGUUCAUGUUUUCUUUUAUUUGCAUUGUACUAGCAUGACAUUUUCCAACAUGGAGGUGUGUGUUGAUGGAAAUAGUUCCUUUGCUGAACUGGGUCAACUUGCAGUGUAAGUCCUGGAUCUGCGGUAAUAUUCUUUAUUAUUAGUUUAAACAGGAAGACAACGGAAAUAUAGAAAAUCCAGCCCGUAUGUGAGCUGUUCAGUUGAAUGCCGGUGAGGAUGGGGCCUCUCUGAGGUGGCAGAUUUGGUUGGAAGAGCUGACCCUGACUUACUGAUAAUACUUACAGCAUGACUGGUUUUCCAAAGGCAUGUAUGAGGAUUUAAAAAAGUCCAGAAUCAAUCACUGUUUAUUGUUUUACAACAUCAGGGACAUGAAUCAUUCCUGAUGUGGCUGAAACAAAAUUUACCCCUAACCCCGGGUUGACUGAGACCAGCACUUCAGAUGCUCCUGUUUGCACAAGCACCCAUCAUUCAAAAGCUCCAGAUGGAGCGAGAGGGGCAGUUGAACAUGGUGAGUACAUGUCCUGAUUAAAGCUUUCUGUCUUCACCUCUAAAAAUGAUUCUGCUCUUUGUCAAGUUGCAAUCCUUCACAAUCCUUCAUUUUUUGAACACUGAUUAUUGAGCACAAACUCAAGGAGCAACUUGUCUUGUAUUCCUGUUGGUACUUUCCCAAAUGGUCAUAGUCCGGUAGCUAUUCCUCAACUUGUUUCCAUCAACUUUUUUUCACAGCUAUUACAGGGAGAAACCUUUCAUCCCCUGAAGUUCACACCAUUGAGAAGACC